GUCACGCGUUCAUGAUCUUUCAUUCUGUGGAUGUAGUACGAUUCAUUGUGCGACCUCGUUUUGCAGAAAUAUCCGCCUCAACAUAAAGUGCUGGUCCUGGGGUUUCUUCAACACUGAGUUGGAGCCUCGAACAUUUCUUGAAAUUUUACUUGAACUGUGUCAUCAGUGCUGGUCCUUGGGUUUCUUCAACACUGAGUUGGAGCCUCGAACAUUUAUUUUGAAAUUUUAC